AUUUUCUGGUUGUUUCGCAAGAAACAAAUAACAUGGUAGAAUCAAGAAAUUAAUACAAUCCUCAGUAAACAUCUCAGUUUUCAAGACUAUUGAGUUAACCAUUAAAAUGGAAAAAGUGUCAUCCACAUCCAUUGAGUUGGCCAUCGAAAUUGGAAGAAUUUCAUAAACAUCUAGUUCCCAAAACGCUGUUAAUACAAGGACAUGGACACAUUUGCAGCCACAGAAGAAGACGACAGAGCUGAUCACGGCAAUAGUUGAGCCAAAAAUCUUCUCAUUUCUCCAUAUCAAACUGAAGAUAUCAAAACCCUUUAACAAAAUCAAUCGCAAUUCAAAGCUAAAUUUCACAGACGAUGGAAGUAUCACAAUUUUUGCUCCAAGACACUGUGGAAUCUGUGUCUGGAUCCUCAUCACCAUCAAUUAAAGAAGAUGAUCCACUUCCAUCGUCACCGUCACUGCCAUCAGAGCAAUUACCGAAAAGACAUAGGAAGCCGAACCCAAUAAUCCCUUUUUUUUCUUAAUUAAAAAUGCCAAAACGUAUCCUCAAAAGAACCAUUAUGAAUCUCCAUAUUAAUUAAAUGAAAAAAAAAAUGCUAAACAAAGACGAAAGCAUUGUCUACAAUUUGAAAAAGGAGAUCAACAGAAACUGUAAAAACAAAAUCAUUUCAAGCUCAUUCACCAACUUCAGCAGAGGGGUUAACCAUUGUUUCAUCAGUGGGCCUAUCCAACUUCACACCUAUAAUGAUCCAAAUCAAAACUGAAGCCAAAAAUAGAUCAAAUUUGGUAAUAGAUCUGCAUCCUAGAACUCAGCAUCCUCGAACUCAGCAUCAUCGAAUUAUUAGCCAUCUUAUAUCCUUAUAUAUAUCGUGCGUUGCAAUCAUAGAAUCUGGAAAUGGGAUUAAGGGAUGGGAAGAAAUGAGUAAAGAAAGUUAGGGCUUUGGGUAAAAAUGAUUGAUUUAAGAGAAUGCGAUUAAAG
rnacentral:misc_RNA from 1 species